CAAGUUAUUCAAUUAAUUAUUGAUUUUCAUUUACAUUGAAAUUUUUAUUGUGUAAUUCAAUAUAACUUGA
rnacentral:tRNA from 1 species